UACGUAGGGGGCUAGCGUUGUCCGGAAUCAUUGGGCGUAAAGCGCGUGUAGGCGGUCCGGUAAGUCCGCUGUGAAAGUCGGGGGCUCAACCCUCGGAUGCCGGUGGAUACUGUCGGGCUUGAGUACGGAAGAGGCGAGUGGAAUUCCUGGUGUAGCGGUGAAAUGCGCAGAUAUCGGGAGGAACACCAAUUGCGAAGGCAGCUCGCUGGGACGUCACUGACGCUGAGACGCGAAAGCCAGGGGAGCAAACGGG
rnacentral:rRNA from 1 species